rnacentral:rRNA from 1 species
UACAGAGACUGCAAGCGUUAUUCGGAUUCACUGGGCGUAAAGGGUGCGCAGGCGGCCGUGUGUGUGAGGCGUGAAAGCCCGGAGCUCAACUCCGGAAUUGCACCUCAAACUACACGGCUAGAGCAUUGGAGAGGGUAGCGGAAUUCACGGUGUAGCAGUGAAAUGCGUAGAUAUCGUGAGGAACACCAGAGGUGAAGGCGGCUACCUGGACAAUUGCUGACGCUCAGGCACGAAAGCGUGGGGAGCAAAAGGG